rnacentral:rRNA from 1 species
CAGAGGGUGCGAGCGUUGUUCGGAAUUACUGGGCGUAAAGCGCGCGCAGGCGGCCCUUUAAGUCCGUCGGUCAAAUGCCGGGGCUCAACCCCGCUGCAUGCCGAGGAUACUGGAGGGCUGGAGACACGUAGAGGCAAGCGGAAUUCCGGGUGUAGCGGUGGAAUGCGUAGAGAUCCGGAAGAACACCGGAGGCGAAGGCGGCUUGCUGGGCGUGAUCUGACGCUGAGGCGCGAAAGCGUGGGGAGCGAACAGGAUUAGAUACCCUGGUAGUCCACGCCGUAAACGAUGGGCACUAGACGCUGGGGGGAUCGACCCUCUCGGUGUCGCAGCUAACGCGAUAAGUGCCCCGCCUGGGGAGUACGGCCGCAAGGCUG